rnacentral:rRNA from 1 species
AGGAAGGUGGGGAUGACGUCAAAUCAGCACGGCCCUUACGUCCGGGGCUACACACGUGUUACAAUGGGGGGUACAGAGGGCCGCUACCACGCGAGUGGAUGCCAAUCCCAAAAACCUCUCUCAGUUCGGACUGGAGUCUGCAACCCGACUCCACGAAGCUGGAUUCGCUAGUAAUCGCGCAUCAGCCACGGCGCGGUGAAUACGUUCCCGGGCCUUGUACACACCGCCCGUCAAGCCAUGGGAGCCGGGGGUACCUGAAGUGCGUAACCGCGAGGAGCGCCCUAGGGUAAAACUGGUGACUGGGGCUAAGUCGUAACAAGGUAGCCGUACCGGAAGGUGCGGCUGGAACACCUCCUUUCUGGAG